AGAGCGAACGCUGGCGGCAUGCUUAACACAUGCAAGUCGCACGGUCAGCAAUGGCAGUGGCGGACGGGUGAGUAACGCGUAGGAAUCUAUCCAGAGGUGGGGGACAACGGUUGGAAACGACUGCUAAUACCGCAUGUUACCUGAGGGUUAAAGGCGCAAGUCGCCUUUGGAGGAGCCUGCGUCUGAUUAGCUUGUUGGUGGGGUAAAGGCUUACCAAGGCGACGAUCAGUAGCUGGUCUGAGAGGAUGAUCAGCCACAUUGGGACUGAGACACGGCCCAAACUCCUACGGGAGGCAGCAGUGGGGAAUAUUGGACAAUGGGGGCAACCCUGAUCCAGCAAUGCCGCGUGUGUGAAGAAGGCCUGCGGGUUGUAAGCACUUUAGUGGGGAUGAAAAGCCUAGGGCUAAUACCCUUGGGUCUUGACCUAACCAAAGAAAACGCACCGGCUAACUCUGUGCCAGCAGCCGC
rnacentral:rRNA from 1 species